AUUGAACGCUGGCGGCAGGCUUAACACAUGCAAGUCGAGCGGGGUGAUGGUGCUUGCACUAUCACUUAGCGGCGGACGGGUGAGUAAUGCUUAGGAAUCUGCCUAUUAGUGGGGGACAACAUCUCGAAAGGGAUGCUAAUACCGCAUACGCCCUACGGGAGAAAGCAGGGGAUCACUUGUGACCUUGCGCUAAUAGAUGAGCCUAAGUCGGAUUAGCUAGUUGGUGGGGUAAAGGCCUACCAAGGCGACGAUCUGUAGCGGGUCUGAGAGGAUGAUCCGCCACACUGGGACUGAGACACGGCCCAGACUCCUACGAGAGGCAGCAGUGGGGAAUAUUGGACAAUGGGGGGAACCCUGAUCCAGCCAUGCCGCGUGUGUGAAGAAGGCCUUAUGGUUGUAAAGCACUUCAAGCGAGGAGGAGGCUCUUUUGGAUAAUACCCAAGAUGAGUGGACGUUACUCGCAGAAUAAGCACCGGCUAACUCUGUGCCAGCCGCCGCGGUAA
rnacentral:rRNA from 1 species